UACGUAGGUGGCAAGCGUUGUCCGGAUUUACUGGGCGUAAAGCGCACGUAGUCGGCUUUGCAAGUCGGUUGUGAAAUCCCCGGGCUCAACCUGGGAACUGCAUCCGAGACUGCAUUGCUAGAGUAUGGGAGAGGAAAGCGGAAUUUCUGGUGUAGCAGUGAAAUGCGUAGAUAUCAGAAGGAACAUCAGUGGCGAAGGCGGCUUUCUGGACCAAUACUGACGAUCAGGUGCGAAAGCGUGGGGAGCAAACAGG
rnacentral:rRNA from 1 species